GGCCUCCCAAUUCUUACCACAGGCUGUGUUCUUUACACUGUAUAGAAAGAGAAGGUGCAGUAAAUGUACCCCAUAUACACCUCAACCCAGGCCCUUUACCUGGUCUGUAAUGUGUUUUGGGGACAAAAAA